rnacentral:lncRNA from 1 species
AUGUUGGGCCAAGCCGGAUGUGGGAUGUGGGUAGAGAUGGGGUUGAGAGCUUCACUGGUGUUGGCAUGCUUGAAGGUGCUAAUUUGACACUUGAUGAACCUGAAUUGGAGGCUGAGAUCAUGGAUGCUCUCACUUGAGUUGUCCUCAUUUAGUUUAUGUUGUAAUGCACAAUUAUGCACUGUAUGACUAAGGGUCUAUGGCCAUGUCAGCCUUGUAUCUUUCUGUUGUUAUGUUGUAAUGCACUGCUUGAUAUUGAUCAUCCUCUUUAUCAUGUUAUUUUUCUCUUAGUUUAUGUUACUGCUACAAGCCAACUUGUUUACUGGUUUUUCACUUUUCAUGCUUGUCAAUCUCAUAUUAUCAUGUCUAAUAUCAUGUAUUGUAUUUUUUAUUUUGCAUACAUCAUGAGGAGUUGAGGACCUAGAUGAUCAUUUAAUUCAAGAUUAGAAAUGGAAGAAGGCAUGAGGAGUUGAGGACCUGGAAGCAACGGUAUUUUCAUCUCAUCGCAUACAUUUUAUUAUUUUAGUUUUUAUUACAUGUUAUUUUAUUAUUAUUCAUAUAUAUGCUUGCCGUAUCGCCGUAUUGAUGUUUUUAGAAAUUGUCGUAUCCCGUAUCGCCGAACCCGUGUCGCCGUAUCGGUAUCGCCGUAUCGGU